AUGAGGAAAAGCAGCUCUGAGAAGGAUGGCUGCCAGUUCGGAGUAGUGGUGGAUGGAAAUCAUGUGCUUCUAAGUCAUUGGAAUGAGGAGCACUUUUUGUUAAAUGCCAUUUGCAAUAGAACCAACCGACUACUUCAGAGGAAACAAAUGGUCAUUGAUGUUCUUCACCCCGGGAAGGCAACAGUGCCUAAGACAGAAAUUCGGGAAAAACUAGCCAAAAUGUACAAGACCACACCGGAUGUCAUCUUUGUAUUUGGAUUCAGAACUCAUUUUGGUGGUGGCAAGACAACUGGCUUUGGCAUGAUUUAUGACUCCCUGGAUUAUGCAAAGAAAAAUGAACCCAAACAUAGACUUGCAAGACAUGGCCUGUAUGAGAAGAAAAAGACCUCAAGAAAGCAACGAAAGGAACGCAAGAACAGAAUGAAGAAAGUCAGGGGGACUGCAAAGGCCAAUGUUGGUGCUGGCAAAAAGUGAGCUGGAGAUUGGAUCACAGCCGAAGGAGUAAAGGUGCUGCAGUAAAGGCUACCUGUGUCCAUUUUGGAUUUCUCACGAGCAGAUUAAUAAACUAAAAACUUUCAAAAAAAAAA